rnacentral:sRNA from 12 species
UAAGGAUACAGGCAAGUGUGCACUGUACACGUCUGGGCACUGAUGUUUAUAUUAAGCGUACUGUAAGUACGCCAGACCAGAUGGGAAGUAGUCGUAAACGCGGCUACUUUUUUUAUUUCUU